rnacentral:miRNA from 1 species
GCACUGGAAGGCUGAGGAAAAAGGGGACGGAGGGGAUUAAGUCGUUUGUGCACAAACGACUUAAUCCCCUCCGUCCCCUUUUUCUUCAAUCCAG